rnacentral:lncRNA from 1 species
UUGUCUCAAAUAUGCUAGCUCACAAAGCAAGGAAGAUAAAAAUUGGACCACAAGAUAGCUAUCCCCCAAUGAAUUCUUUAUUUUGUGUCUAGACCUUCCAACAUUUUAUUUCCUAAUGGCAGAAGGAUACAUAAAGGGAGAUGUGUUACACCCCGAACCCAACACUUGAUUCAGCCACAUAACAUAGCCAUAUGAAUCCUAGAGCAUCGUCC